rnacentral:rRNA from 1 species
UUAUUGUAAAAAAUUUUAAGUCUGACCUGCCCAAUGAUUUAGGAUUUAAUGGCCGCGGUAUUUUGACCGUGCAAAGGUAGCAUAAUCAUUAGUUUUUUAAUUGAAAUCUUGUAUGAAGGGUUUAAUGAAAAAAUAUCUGUCUCUGUUUAAAUUUAUUAGAAAUUUAUUUUUUAGUGAAAAAGCUGAAAUUUGAAUAGAAGACGAGAAGACCCUAUAGAGUUUAAUAUUUGCAAAAAAUGAAUAUUAUUAAGUAUUAAAAUUUUAUUUAUUGCAAAUAUUUAAUUGGGGUGAUUUAAAAAUUUAAAAAACUUUUUUAAAAAAUAGCCAUUGAUUUAUGAGUAUGGGAUCCUUUAUUUAAGAUUAAAAGAAAUAAUUACCUUAGGGAUAACAGCAUAAUUUUUUUUAGAGUUCUUAUUGAAAAAAAAGAUUGUGACCUCGAUGUUGGAUUAAAAAAAAAUAUUGGUGAARAASCUAAUAGUUUAGGUCUGUUCGACCUUUAAAAUUUUACAUGAUCUGA